AUUGAACGCUGGCGGCAGGCCUAACACAUGCAAGUCGGACGGUAGCACAGAGGAGCUUGCUCCUCGGGUGACGAGUGGCGGACGGGUGAGUAAUGUCUGGGGAUCUGCCCGAUAGAGGGGGAUAACCACUGGAAACGGUGGCUAAUACCGCAUAACGUCGCAAGACCAAAGAGGGGGACCUUCGGGCCUCUCACUAUCGGAUGAACCCAGAUGGGAUUAGCUAGUAGGCGGGGUAACGGCCCACCUAGGCGACGGUCCCUAGCUGGUCUGAGAGGAUGACCAGCCACACUGGAACUGAGACACGGUCCAGACUCCUACGGGAGGCAGCAGUGGGGAAUAUUGCACAAUGGGCGCAUGCCUGAUGCAGCCAUGCCGCGUGUAUGAAGAAGGCCUUCGGGUUGUAAAGUACUUUCAGCGGGGAGGAAGGCGAUGUGGUUAAUAACCGCGUCGAUUGACGUUACCCGCAGAAGAAGCACCGGCUAACUCCGUGCCAGCCGCCGCAGUAA
rnacentral:rRNA from 1 species